GACGAACGCUGGCGGCGUGCUUAACACAUGCAAGUCGAACGGGCCUUGUCCCCUUUUUUUUUGGGGGUGGGGUUAGUGGCGAACGGGUGAGUAACACGUGAGUAACCUGCCCCUCACUUCUGGAUAACCGCUUGAAAGGGUGGCUAAUACGGGGUGUUCUGGCCUGCUCGCAUGGGUGGGUUUGGAAAGAUUCGACCGGUUUGGUUGUUUUGGUGGGGGGUGGGCUCGCGGCCUUUCAGCUUGUUGGUGGGGGGAUGGCCUGCCAAGGCUUUGACGGGUAGCCGGCCUGAGAGGGUGGGCGGUCACACUGGGACUGAGACACGGCCCAGACUCCUACGGGAGGCAGCAGUGGGGAAUAUUGCACAAUGGGCGCAAGCCUGAUGCAGCGACGCCGCGUGAGGGAUGGAGGCCUUCGGGUUGUGAACCUCUUUCGCCAGUGAAGAAGGUCCUGCUCUUUGUGGUGGGGUUGACGGUAGCUGGGUUAAUGAAGCGCCGGCUAACUACGUG
rnacentral:rRNA from 1 species